rnacentral:misc_RNA from 1 species
CCUCAACUUCUCCUUCUCUGGAUGAAAAGUCAACUAAUGAAGUGGCAGUCUGAGAUCGAGCCCACUCUUCUAGCCUCUUUGCAUCAAUUCUAUAUUGCUCGGGAUCCUCCUUCAAUGCUUUUAUGUAUGCUUGGAAAAUGGCAUCUCGAUCCUCAUCACUUGGGUAUCCUUCCAUGAGUUGAUCAUACACGGUAACAAAACCAAGGGCAAACACAGGGUCGUAACGGUAAGUCCUCUUGUACCUCAUCAAAUGUUGCUGAACAAUCAGCUCCUGCAGAACCGUAUUGUAGAUGCUUGGAAUUGGU